rnacentral:lncRNA from 1 species
UUUAAAUCAGGAUUUUCACAUAUCUUACUUUUUAAAGAAUUAUCCCUCUCUCUUCCUAGAACUUACCUGGAUCUGAUGGGACCUGAAAAAUAACUUUCUUUGUACCUCCUUCUUUUCCUUAAUAUGCUAAGAGGCAUCUGGGUAGAAAAUGCGCUUGAAGAAUAUCUAAAAUUUGCCACUUGCUAAACUGUAUAAAAUUUGGGACCCUCUUGACAGACACACGUUCGUGAAUAUAAAGAACUGGAAAGGGAUGUGCACCUCUGCAUUUGUUUUUUUCUUUCUUCAUGGCUUAGCUGUAAGAAUGAUUCACCUCUAUGCUUUCCUCCCUCUGAUGUCCUCCAGACUUCUUCAGAAGUCGAUGACCAGAGAGAAGGUGGUGAGGAUAUACAGUAUCACAACAGGAAAGUUUCUGGAGAUCAUCUAAUAAGUAAGUGCCUAGAUUCUAAUCUAAGCCUCUAAUUUUCCAUCUGGGGACACUGAGGUUCAGUGAA